rnacentral:rRNA from 1 species
UUUCCGCCAGAGAACUACAAGUGAAAAACUUGAAACUCAAAGGACUUGACGGUGUCCCAUAUCGACCUAGAGGAGCCUGUCCUAUAAUCGAUACUCCCCGCUCCACCCAACCUCAACUAGCAAAUUAUCAGCCUAUAUACCGCCGUCGACAGCCUACCCUAUGAAGGUCCAAUAGUAGACAAAAUAGCCCUAUCGCUAAUACGUCAGGUCAAGGUGUAGCAAAUGUUAAGGAAGAGAUUGGCUACAUUUUUUAGUAUAAAAAACACGAAAAGCACUAUGAAACCGUUCAUGAAGGUGAAUUUAGUAGUAAAAUAAAUAAGAGAGUUUAUUUUAACACCGCUCUGGGACGCGUACACACCGCCC